GAUGAACGCUGGCGGCGUGCCUAAUACAUGCAAGUCGAGCGAACAGAUGAGGAGCUUGCUCCUUUGACGUUAGCGGCGGACGGGUGAGUAACACGUGGAUAACCUACCUAUAAGACUGGGAUAACUUCGGGAAACCGGAGCUAAUACCGGAUAACAUAUAGAACCGCAUGGUUCUAUAGUGAAAGACGGUUUUGCUGUCACUUAUAGAUGGAUCCGCGCCGCAUUAGCUAGUUGGUAAGGUAACGGCUUACCAAGGCGACGAUACGUAGCCGACCUGAGAGGGUGAUCGGCCACACUGGAACUGAGACACGGUCCAGACUCCUACGGGAGGCAGCAGUAGGGAAUCUUCCGCAAUGGGCGAAAGCCUGACGGAGCAACGCCGCGUGAGUGAUGAAGGUCUUCGGAUCGUAAAACUCUGUUAUUAGGGAAGAACAAAUGUGUAAGUAACUAUGCACGUCUUGACGGUACCUAAUCAGAAAGCCACGGCUAACUACGUG
rnacentral:rRNA from 1 species